UGAGAAAGUUCUGGGGAAGGACUG
rnacentral:misc_RNA from 1 species